rnacentral:lncRNA from 1 species
AAAUUACUCAAGAUAUACCUCAAAAUACAACCACUAGUAAAUUGGAUCACUUACUUCCCUUAGAUUACAAGUGUUGACUUCAACUUCAUAUAACUCCUUCAUCUUAGCUUAGAAUUCAUCAAUUAGUAUACAAAAAGUAUAGCCAAAAAGUGCUCUCUUCAAUCUUAGUCACCAAUCCUUCAUUGCAUUUCAUAUUCAUGUAUUAUAUCUAAAAGAAUGAUAGUAGAUAUAAAAUAAAUACCUUAACUUUGAGCACCUAUAUUUCUUUUAUAAAAAUUCCAAAUCAUCCAAAAUUAACACCAAAACCAUAGCCAAAAUCCUAAAUUCUUUCAUCUUAGUCUCUUAACUUUUAAUCACCUCAAAAGAGUGACCCAAAUUCCUAAUAAGGCCUUAGGCAGCCUCCUUAAAGUCCAUUGGACAUUAAUUUUGGCCAAUAAGAAUGAAGAUUUUUAUCAUCUAUCUCCAUUCAUCCAUAUGGACAACCAAACUACUCUUUUUGCUACUAAAAU